GUGCCAGCAGCCGCGGUAAUACAGAGGUGGCAAACGUUGUCCGGAUUUAUUGGGUGUAAAGGGCAUGUAGGUGGUUUUGUAAGUCAAAGGUGAAAUGGCCCGGCUUAACCAGGUCAUUGCCUUUGAUACUGCAAGGCUUGAGUACGGAAGAGGAGAGCGGAAUUCCCAGUGUAGCGGUGAAAUGCGUAGAUAUUGGGAGGAACACCGGUGGCGAAGGCGGCUCUCUGGUCCGAAACUGACACUGAGAUGCGAAAGCCAGGGGAGCAAACGGGAUUAGAUACCCCGGUAGUCC
rnacentral:rRNA from 1 species